CAUGUAUAAUAGCAAACCGUCUGAAAAGGCGGGACGCAAAGUCCAGGAGUCUAAAGUGCUAACCAGUGCCAUGACCGUCCGACUGCCAUG
rnacentral:ncRNA from 1 species